CCUAUGGCUGAUUCGUGUUGAGGUUUGACAGAAAACAGCAAAAUUCUGUAAAAUGAUUAUCCUUCAGUAAAAAAUAAAAAGCCUGUGUCCUGGCGCCCCUGCCCCCAGUGGCCCUGCUCACCGCAGUCCCAUCCUCCAGGGUCCCACUGGUCCUUUACCUUCUCUCACGUCCUAGGCUUGUAGUCUUUGAUAGUUUGACCAGGGGAAAAUUUCAGGCUUAAAAGGCAAUGCAAAAGCAUGGGUCAUGUAGCCUGGGCUUCCCUGGUGGCCCGGUGGGAAAGAAUUCACCUGCGAAGGUAGGAAACACAGGUUCAAUCCCCGGUCUGGGAAGAGCUAGUCUGUGAGCCACAACUACUCCAGGAGCCGCACCUGCUGAAGGCCACGUGCCUGGAGCCCACGCUCUGCGAGGAGAGAAACCAGCGAUGAGAAGCCCGCACGCGGCCGUUAGCCGGGAGCGCCUGCUCACUGCAGCCAGAGAAAGCUCCAGGCUGCCGCGGAGGCCCAGCGCAGCCGGGAAUAAAUACAAAUGCAUCUUCAGCAUAGCCCAGUGUGAGGUUCCAAACAUUCCCUCGAGGGGUGUUUGUCCGCUGGCCAGAGCAUCCGUGUGUCCCGUAGGAGCAAGGAGCUCCAUCCGGCAGGAUGCUUUGGCAUCCCCUCCGGCAGGGUGGUGGGCGAAGGGUCCAGAUGGAGAAGGCCUGAGGGAAGUGGCCGGGCCCUGUGUGCUUCGGAACAGAGAACCAGACACCGGGCAACGUGGGGCUGCCUCUAACAACUCCGUCUCUGGUUGGAGCCCUCUGCAUGUGUGUAUGGGCACGAAGCACGUUCCGCGGAGUCCCCGCGAAUCAAACAGCCAAAACGCGUGGCUGACCUCGAGAGCUGAGAGAAAGUUCUCCUGGGUGAGCGGGCAUCUAUGGAAACUUCCCUUCUUCUACUUCUGUCUCUGCAUCCGGCCCGGUUCCUGGCAUAGAAUUAACCCUCAGAAACUCUUUGGGGAACUGAGAACAAGACUCUGCCUUCCCCAGGUUUGCCCUUUACAGUUUGAAGACAGCUCUUGGGGCGUCCGCAGUCUUCUCUCUUUGGAACUGAACACAGAGCGUUCCCGUAAGUCCUGACCAAGGGGCCCAGCCCCACGUGCCCUUCCUGACCGCACCACCUGGCACUUCUAAGACACGGUGCCCAGGCCUGGAAGGAGUGACCCCUGUCUGCUCGGCACACAUACCCGUGAUGCAGCGCCCGAUGGGCCCUGAUGACAUCAGCACCCCCAGAGAUCAGGCUCCAGCAUCCCUGGAGUGAUGUGAUGUGAUGUGGUCUCACACACUCCCCACCGGAAGGCAGACUCGGCUUCCUGGCCGGUGAGCCUGCCUUGGCGCACGAGGCGAAGGGACGGAGUGCGGUUCUGAGCCCAGCGCCUGAGAUGCCCUGUUGGCAGUGCCCCUCUCCCCGGGGGCGGCUUGGGCCUUGCUGGGGAGGACGAGAGAACACGCGGUGUACAUACAGAUGGGCUGUCCCGGCCGAGGCCAUCCUGCACUGGUCAGCGUGGCUGACCUCCUGGCCAGUACACGAGUGGCUCAGUCACCUCGGCUGUCUGGCCCGGUCAGGAGCCGCCUGGCUCACCUGCAGGCCUGGGAGCAGUACUAAACGGUCAGUGUUUCAUCCACUGAGGCUCCAGAGCUGAGUUUUUUAGUGUUAUUUUGGCAAGACAUAGUUAACACACCAUCUGACUAGCAUCACCCAGGAUUGGA
ensembl:lncRNA